rnacentral:lncRNA from 1 species
UGAUUCUAAUGCAUGUUAUAGCCUAUGGUAUGAUUUUAAAAUUAUUAACUGCUUUUAAUUAAUUUUAGGAAGAUUCCACGUUAUCUAAAAUACGUCUCUGAACCACGCCACAUGAAAUGCACCCGCGAUCCAUGACACAUUUUAUUUAACGUUGUGAAAUAUGGAUUUGAGUCACAUAAAAUGCACACCCUUGUUUAGGAAUGUAAUUUUAAAUUACACGCCUAAAGCAACUACUUAUUUUCAACAUUGCGAGGGCCAUGGAAAGUUCACUUAAUGGCACGUCUCGAAUUUUAAGAAUUUUAAAAUUAAUUAAGCGAGGGCCGUACAUUUUCAGAUUUUAUUCGGCAUGGCACACAUCAUAUUAUUCUAUCAAAAGUAUUUCUAUUCUUAGUUUUGAGGGCCAUAAAUUAUAACUUGUCUUAUAUGGCUCGUCUCAAAUCCAUUUUAAAAAUCUAGUCAAUUAGGGAAAAACUUAAGGGGAUUAAAAUUAAUUAUUCGAACCUAUGUAGCAAUUAACAGGCACAGUAUUAAGCAACCAAUUGUCUAAAAAGGAAAUUGCUUCCACAAUAAAGCAACUAAAGGAAGGAGCUGCAUCUGAUGAAACGAAACAAGCUCAAGUAACAAAAGGUAAACAAUCGAUUCACAGGUGCUUGUAGGCUUGGGCCCAAAAGAGCCCAGUUUUAGUGAAACAAUGAGCACCCUAUCGACAUGAGGGCAUGCAAUUGAACCUGAGAUUGGCUGUCCUUCAGCUGGGCCAACAUUAGGCCCAGUUCUUAUGACCCAAUGAUUCGUACACAAUCAAAUAACGCAAAUCAGCUAAUGCUACGUAAAACAUAAAAUCGAAUUAACAAUUUUGACUUCUGAAUUUUAACUAUUUGACACAAAUUACCUAGCUAAACUUCUAAUUUGCUAUGCGAAAAAUCCAGUAGCAAACUAAACGAGCUACUGGGCUCGAGAAACAAGCCCAAGUAGCAAUGCUAUGCCAUUUUCCCUUGCAAAUGACCUCAGAUUCCAUGAACCAAAAACUUGUAAAAAACCAAGGCUGAUGGUCAAGACUCAAAAUCGAGUCUAUUCCUACAACAAACUACCAUCUGCCCAAUGAUAAAUAUAAUAAAUCUCAUCACUACACAGUAAUUGAGACACAAAACAAGUUCAAAGACUACUGGGAAUACAUGCUCGUCAUCAACUAAUCAAACAUUCAUGCUUGAAUUCAGCCCUAAAUUAAACUCACAAACAAAACUUGAACUUAAACUCAAUUAACUCUUUCUCAAUACCAAUAGUAACAAUAUCUAGGAAAUUAACACCAUUCACUUAAAUAAAUAAAUAAUCAACACCCCAAACUUAAACAUGUUCAUAUGCUAUCCAGAAGUAAAUCAAUGCACGCUUUACCUUUUAAUGUAACCUAGACCAUUUCCUCUAUUCAUAACACUAAUCGCAACAUGGACUGUAUUUCACAACUGACAAAACUCAAAGCUCGAAACUCUUGCAAGAUUCAAGCCUCAUUUCACAAGACACUGCACACUGAACUGAUUAUGCUAAACAAUAUGUACAUAAUAAACUUGAAACUAAUUUUCAGUCUGAGUUCAUAAUCACAUAUUACAAACCAUUCACAGCAAAGAGCAUCUCACAUUACUUCUCAAAUAGCAUGCCACGCAUCAUCAUUUUACCCUUAGUCUCCUUGCAUGUAGUUUUAUCAUAAGAACUGCUACCAAACAAUAUAACACUGAAAUGUCUAGCCAAAAACCAAAGAAAACUGAAACCAACAUGCCUCUUGACUGCAUCUUUUAUCUGCAGCAUCUCAAUAGUCUCAAAUUAAUACAAGAAAAACAAAUUCCAACAGCUAAAGCAGAAAUUAACUAAGAAAACAAUGGACUAAAGCUAUAAAACACCAUACAGCCAAAGACAUAAAACUGAACUCAUAAAAAGAAACUAGAAAAUGUUUUGAACUCUAUUUUUUUAAAUUUCACUCUUCAAUUCUAGCUUCACAUGGGAGUAGAAUGGAGAAGUGUACCUGAAUGAAAGCGAAAGGGGUCAGAAGUCUAGUCUGAAGCUAGAAGGAAGUAGUAGUAGCAGAAAUCAGCAAUGCGACAGUAACAACAACCAAAACCCAAACUUCGACAACCAGGACCCAAAUGAUUCAAAACUAAACCCUUAAUCCAGCAAUGGAACAGUAGAAACCAUAGUAAAAUCCAAACCGCACUCUACCAUAGCAGAACUCAAACCAUUUUUAAACCCAUAAUGCAAACCAUGAACUUUCAAUGGUUUGAGCUAAAUUAUCAGGGCCAGAAGAACAAGAAUCUGAGCAGAACUUUUAGUAAUUUUUCAUCAAAAUGCUAAGAUUGUUUCAGAAAUUUUUAGAGAAAAAGCAGUCGUUUCAAUCUUUUAGGAUUUUUCUUAGUCUCUUCAAAUCUCUCUUGCUAAAGACGAAAUGAUGUAUUUAUAGGCAAGCUUUUAGGGCAGCCCCAAGAUAUCAUAUUUUGCAUUUUGACCCUUUUUGAAUUUUUAUUUUUGCUUAAGAGACCUUAGUUUAAAAUUCAGAUUUUACUUGAGUCCCCCACCCCACCUUCCGGGAAACUUCCAAAUCAGUUAUAUCAGAUUCUUUCAUCCUAAAUUCCUAAGCAACCCUCCAAUACCCCUUUUAUUACCCCUUGAAACUCAUGGGUCAAGUUGACCCAAUGACUUAAUCAAAUGAAACGGGCUGACUUUCUUUUGCAAAUGGGUCUGAAACCAAAAGCCCAAACGACUUGGUUCAAGGCACUCUGGUUUUGCUUUAGGGAACCCAAAUGGGUAUGGGUCAAAAUGACCCAAUGUUCCACAACAAAAAAGCCUGGGCUGCCCAUAAAAAGGACAAGUUGUGGAUAAGGUGGAUCACAGUGUAUUACAUCAAAGACAGACCAAUAGAGUCCAUGCCAAUUCCUACCCAAGCUAGCUGGAUGGUUAAGAAGAUCAUCCAAUCAAGAGAUACUCUACAAAGGCUCUAGAACUGGAAACAUCAGAAAUGCUCGACUAGACAAUUGUACCAGUCACUGAUGCAAGAAGUGCCGAUAGUCCCAUGGAAGAAUUUAAUCAUACAAAACCAAGCCAGACCAAAAGCAAUGUUCAACCUAUGGCUAUUCCUACAGGACAGACUCUCAACAAAGGAUAGACUUCACAGCUGGGGAAUGAGCAUUGACCAGCAAUGCACCUUAUGCCAAAUCCACCCUGAAAAGAGAUCAUUUGCUCAUGAACUGCCCUGUCUCUGUGGACCUAUGGGAAGAGUAAUGAACUGGUUGCAGGAACAAUACCCACCUAGUAUUGAUUGGAACCAGAAAAUGAAAUGGUUGAUUAGCUCCAAGGGCCGAACCUGUCGUGCAGCCACUUUUAAAAUGGUUACAGCUGAAUUUGCAUAUGCUAUAUGGCUGGAAAGGAAUGCAAGAGUUUUCAACAAGGUUUUUCGAUGUAAUACUGCUUUACUGAGAGACAUAGUGUAUAAUUGUAAUGUUAGAGGCACCCCUAGAAUUAGACAACUAUUGCAACACCUUAGAAUAUAGUAGAGCUAGGCAGUUAGGAUAGUAAGUGUAGUCAGUAUGUUAUCUCAGCUGAAGCUCGACCGUGGUUUUGUAAUGUUACUUCAUGGGUGAUUAAUGAAAAAGCCUUAAUUACCAAAAAAAAACAAAGCCUGGGCUAACCCCUUCCUUUUAGACCCAAGUCCAAUUCAGAAAUUCAAAAGAAAAAUCUAAAAGGCAGAACAAAUAACAAACAAAAGCACGUUGGAAUCAAAUGGACUUCUGAACCAACUGGUUUCUUCGGCCCAAAACUAAAUGAAAAUCAAACAGACUAAAACAAAAUUAAAGAAGAUACUGAUUAACGAUUGGCCUAGAUUAAAGGGACACACGCAGAAGUGAUUUUGAGAAAACAAAUGGACUUCUGAACAAAUAAUAAACAAAAGCACUUAAGAAUCAAAUGGACUUCUUAACCAACUAGUCUUUCCAGCCCAAAACUAAAUGAAAAUCAAACAGAUUAAAACAAAACUAAAGAAGAUACUGAUUAACGAUUAGGCUGGAUUUAAGGGAUACAUGCAGAAGUGAUUUUGAGAACAUAGAUGAAGAGAAUAAAAAUAGAAGAAGAUAGGGAAAAGAAAUGAAGAAAAAGGGAUCCUGAAAAGGUGAAUAAAAACUCUUGAAUGACCCUUUGAAGAAUCCAAUUUUGGACCGACGUAAACCUUAAUCGUUGUUCUCGACGAAAAUACACGACAAAAGUCCAAUCCGAACUCAAAUCUUCGAUCAACUGGCUGAUUUGCAUUUUUUGGGAUUUAGGGUUACGAUUUUAGAUUUAAGAUUCGAGGGAUUCAAGUCUAGUUCUAGGGAAAAGGGACCAGGAGGUCGUGAUGGUCAAGGGGUGUUAUUUUGGGGUCGAUUGGGACGCCGCCGCCGCCAGCGAGGGUAGGGGAUUUGAGGACGGCACCCUAGGGUUCGUGGUUUAGUCAGUGUAAAGUGAGAGACGAGAUUGGGGUGGGUAGGCACGCGUUUGGACAAUUAUAUAUUAGGUAAACGACCA